CCUACGGGAGGCAGCAGUGAGGGAUAUUGGUCAAUGGGGGAAACCCUGAACCAGCAACGCCGCGUGAGGGAAGACGGUUUUCGGAUUGUAAACCUCUGUCCUCUGUGAAGAUAAUGACGGUAGCAGAGGAGGAAGCUCCGGCUAACUACGUGCCAGCAGCCGCGGUAAUACGUAGGGAGCAAGCGUUGUCCGGAUUUACUGGGUGUAAAGGGUGCGUAGGCGGCCCUGCAAGUCAGAAGUGAAAUCCAUGGGCUUAACCCGUGAACUGCUUUUGAAACUGGCGGGCUGGAGUUGGAGAGAAGUACGCGGAAUGCGCGGUGUAGCGGUGAAAUGCUUAGAUAUCGCGCAGAACCCCGAUUGCGAAGGCAGCGUACCGGCUCCACACUGACGCUGAGGCACGAAAGCGUGGGUAUCGAACAGGAUUAGAUACCCCAGUAGUC
rnacentral:rRNA from 1 species